rnacentral:rRNA from 1 species
AAACAUUGUUUCUUGAUUAAAACCAUAAGAAAUAAGUACUGCCCAGUGAUUUAAUUUAACGGCCGCGGUAUACUGACCGUGCGAAGGUAGCAUAAUAAUUUGUCUCCUAAUUAGGGAAUAGAAUGAAUGAAUCAACCCAAAACAUGCUGUCUCUAUUACAUGCCAAUAACUUUAUCUUCAGGUGAAAAAGCCUGGAUACAAUAAAAAGACAAGAAGACCCUAAAAGCUUUAUAUCUAAUCACUAACUUAAAAUGUUAUGAUCUUUUGUUGGGAUGACAACAAGUAUACAAAACACUUGUAAAAAUAAAGACCAUGUCUCUACCAUUUUAACCAAAAAAAGAAUACAUGUAAGCUACUUUAGGGGUAACAGGCUAAUAUUCUUAAAGAGUACAUAUUGACAAGAAUGUUUGGCACCUCGAUGUUGGCUUAGAGACUCUCUUUUAUGCAAAAGUAAAAACAGAAGGUUUGUUCAACCUAUAAUCCUCUACAUGAUCUG